rnacentral:lncRNA from 1 species
CACUGUUGGUGGGAGUGUGAAUUAGUUCAACCAUUGUGGAAGACAGUGUGUUGAUUCCUCAAGGAUCUAGAACUAGAAAUACCAUUUGACCCAGCAAUCCCAUUACUGGGUAUAUACCCAAAGGAUUAUAAAUAUCCCCACGUGGAUCUUUUCAACUUAGAUCAUGGCCUCCUUUUCCUGCACAGACACUCAUGUGUCUGGAUUAUCCACUGGGAUAAAAGCAAUCACAGGAGCACUGACAGAUCUCAUGGCGCUGUCCCGAAUAUUUCUGAGCAUCUCUGCAUGGUGUGCCAGGUGACCACUUGCCCUUUGCGGAGGACUAGGAGGACUAUCAUUGCCCCUCCUGCUGGCUCAGAUCUUCCUCUGACCACAGAGGGUUUGUCAGUCAUGCCCUUCAGGGGGAAGAGAAACCACCCACCCUGGGAGGUCCCCGCUAGUAGGUGGAUCCACAUGUUUCCAGGUCACAUACCCACCCAGGUCCACACUUGGACAAGUCCAAGUCCAGCACCCUCUAGAACCUUGGCCUAGAGACGGUCUCUAACCCUAGUCCAGCCCCUUCUCCUGGGUGGUGCAUUUUUUUCUGAGGAGCCUUGAGCUCUCUCCUGAAAUCUGACUGUUCUGCCAUCUGCAUCAUGAGUAUCA